rnacentral:rRNA from 1 species
AUUGAACGCUGGCGGCAGGCCUAACACAUGCAAGUCGAGCGGAGCGGCGGACGGGUGAGUAAUGCCUAGGAAUCUGCCUGGUAGUGGGGGAUAACGUCCGGCAACGGGCGCUAAUACCGCAUACUAUCAGAUGAGCCUAGGUCGGAUUAGCUAGUUGGUGGGGUAAAGGCCUACCAAGGCGACGAUCCGUAACUGGUCUGAGAGGAUGAUCAGUCAAACUGGAACGAGGACACGGUCAAGACUCUUAGGGGAGGAAGCAGUGGGAAAGAUUGCACAAUGGGCGCAAGCCGGAUGAAGCCAGGCCGCGUGUAGGAAGAAGGCUUUCGGGUUGUAAAGUACGUUCAGCGGGGAGGCGUUACCCGAAGAAGAAGCACCGGCUAACUCCGUGCCAGCAGCCGCGGUAAUUC